CAACAUGAAGGCCAGCUCACUGGAGUCCACGAUGUGAUGUCCACCGUCUUGCAGGCGGAAUCGAAUGCCGGAUAGCUUGUGGCCGGAGAGCAUUCCCUUCUCAGCCAUUUCUCUGUAACCUGAUGAUAAAACAAUGUAUUAAAACACAAAGAAGUGGAGAUAAUAAAGCUGUUCGACGGAUUUGCUGAGCAGACCCCACUGUCACUAAAAGUCUUAAGAAAAAACCGAAAGACCCAUUGCGUGCACCUGUUGAGUGGUUAUGAUUUUUUUUGGGAAUUUCUCUUCAAGGAGAGUUUUCGCAUAUAGAGGAAGCUUCUCGAUGAGUUAGAGGAGCAGUGGCAAGGCCUCCAAGAUUAGAACACCGACCUUAUGAACUCGUUUCUUUUGGAUAUGCGGGACUGUUUUAAUGAUGUGGAAGAUUUUAGACGGAUUUCUUGCACAGAGUUGUAACGGGUGUUAGCUAUAAAGAACUACCUUCGAAUCACUCUUACCCACAAAAAGUUUUAAGAAACCCACAAAAUCUUAAAGGACUUCCGCAAUGUGUUGGGGCAAUCGAUGGAUCCGUUGACUAUCACAACAAUGAAGGAUGGUAUUCAACAGUCCUCCCUGUGACGGUUGACGUUGACUACAUGUUAGAACACUUUCAGGCAUAUUUACUGAAUUUUUUGUUGGUAUACCAUUGGUAUACAAUGUGGGCUGUCCGGGUCGAUGUGACGAUUCCGAAAUUUAUAAGAAUUACCUUAAAAACACUUGUAGAUAAUACUAAUCUAUUUCGAGGAACUAAACUAGACAAAACUAUAAAUAUUCCCUUGGCUUGUAUCAGUGCGAUUUCGGAAAGCUGGUCAAGCGUAGUCGCUGAAGUCCACAACCUGAACUAACAAAUUGUUCUCAUGACUGUCAAUACACAGGAAACCAUUCGAAAAGCUAUUACAACUUAUUAAAAUAACAAAUUUUAUAAUGUUUAUAU